UACGUAGGGGGCGAGCGUUGUCCGGAUUUAUUGGGCGUAAAGAGCGUGUAGGCGGCCAGGUAGGUCUGCUGUGAAAACUCGAGGCUCAACCUCGAGACGUCGGCGGAAACCAUCUGGCUAGAGUCCGGAAGAGGAGAGUGGAAUUCCUGGUGUAGCGGUGAAAUGCGCAGAUAUCAGGAAGAACACCGAUGGCGAAGGCAGUUCUCUGGGCCGUAACUGACGCUGAGGAGCGAAAGCGUGGGGAGCGAACAGG
rnacentral:rRNA from 1 species